rnacentral:rRNA from 1 species
AACGCGAAGGAACCUUACCAAAUCUUGACAUCCUUUGACAACUCUAGAGAUAGAGCCUUCCCCUUCGGGGGACAAAGUGACAGGUGGUGCAUGGUUGUCGUCAGCUCGUGUCGUGAGAUGUUGGGUUAAGUCCCGCAACGAGCGCAACCCUUAAGCUUAGUUGCCAUCAUUAAGUUGGGCACUCUAAGUUGACUGCCGGUGACAAACCGGAGGAAGGUGGGGAUGACGUCAAAUCAUCAUGCCCCUUAUGAUUUGGGCUACACACGUGCUACAAUGGACAAUACAAAGGGCAGCGAAACCGCGAGGUCAAGCAAAUCCCAUAAAGUUGUUCUCAGUUCGGAUUGUAGUCUGCAACUCGAUUACAUGAAGGACCAAUCGCCUAGUCCUCGUGGAUCCUCC